GCUUGUCUCAAAGAUUAAGCCAUGCAUGUCUCAGUAUAAGCUUCUAUACGGCGAAACUGCGAAUGGCUCAUUAAAACAGUUAUAGUUUAUUUGGUGGUCAACUCUUACAUGGAUAACCGUGGUAAUUCUAGAGCUAAUACAUGCGCCCAAACCCAACUUCUUGGAAGGGUUGUGUUUAUUAGAUACAGAACCAAACGGCUUCGGCCGUCUCAUUGGUGACUCUGAAUAACUUUGGGCUGAUCGUAUGGCCUUGUGCCGACGACGUUUCCUUCGAAGGUGUGCCCUAUCAACUGUCGACUGUGAUAUAGACGCUCACAGUGGUUUUGACGGGUAACGGGGAAUCAGGGUUCGAUUCCGGAGAGGGAGCCUUAAAAACGGCUACCACAUCCAAGGAAGGCAGCAGG
rnacentral:rRNA from 1 species